CUGUAGUGUCUCUCCUCUCCCUGCCCCCUGCUGUACCCCCGCUGUACCCCUGUAACAGUAUUUGGGGGUGGCAUCUCCUCUCCCUGCCCCCUGCUGUACCCUCGCUGUACCCCUGUAACAUUCUUUCGGGGUGGCGUCUCCUCUCCCUGCCCCCUGCUGUACCCCCACUGUACCCCUGUAACACUCUUUCGGGGUGGUGUCUCCUCUCCCUGCCCCCUGCUGUACCCCUGCAGUACCCCUGUAACACUCUUUGGGGGUGGCGUCUCUCUGUAGUGCCUCUCCUCUCCCUGCCCCCUGCUGUACCCCCGCUGUACCCCUGUAACAGUAUUUGGGGGUGGCGUCUCCUCUCCCUGCCCCCUGCUGUACCCCCACUGUACCCCUGUAACAGUCUUUGGGGGUGGCGUCUCCUCUCCCUACCCCCGCUGUACCCCUGUAACAGUCUUUGGGGGUGGCGUCUCCUCUCCCUGCCCCCUGCUGUACCCCCGCUGUACCCCUGUAACAGUCUUUGGGGGUGGCGUCUCCUCUCCCUGCCCCCUGCUGUACUCCCGCUGCAGGAGGGAGGUGUGUGUGUGCCCCCUGUAGGGUUUGGGGUGACCGCAGUGCCCAGAGCGCAGUGGGGUGCUCUGCCCUGUGCAGGGUGUGGAAGAGACUGUUAGGGAGACGCUUCUUCAACCUGCUUCUCUCUCUCUCUCCUCUCUCUGGCCUUUUUCUGUCUCUCUGUUCCUCCAUCUCUCCCACUCCUCUCUCUCUCCUGCUCCUCUCUCUCCUACUCCUCUCUCUCCCACUCCUCUCUCUCCCUGUCUAUCUCUCCCACUCCUCUCUCUCCCACUCCUCUCUCUUCCCGUCUCUCUCUCCUACUCCUCUCUCUCCCACUCCUCUCUCCUACUCCUCUCUCUCCCUGUCUCUCUCUCCUACUCCUCUCUCUCCCUGUCUCUCUCUCCUACUCCUCUCUCUCCUUCUCCUCUCUCUCCUACUCCUCUCUCUCCCACUCCUCUCUCUCCCAUUCCUCUCUCUCCCACUCCUGUCUCUCUCCCUCUGUGCCUCCUUUCCUGUCACCCUCUCCCUGCCUCUCCCUCCCACUCCCCUCUCCCCCUCCCUCCCUGCCUCCUCCUCUCUCUCUCUGCCUGUCUCUCUCCUUCCUCAGUGCCUCCCUGUGCCUCCUGCAAGGCCGGAGCCG
rnacentral:lncRNA from 1 species